CACAAAGAUAAGGAAGGUCCGUGGUCUCCACGUGCUCCACAAGCUACCUGUUUUUAGCUUCCCACGUUGCAGAGGUACUCAGAGUGACGCGGGCACUCAGAGUGACUAUCUGGGGUCUUUCCGUCGCUCUCCAGUUCGCUUGAAGUGGGAUUGUAGCAUUAAAGACAAUUAUCGCCAAGCUCCGAGGAACACACACCAGGGACCAUUCCAGGAGGAGUCUAUUCAUUGAGGGUGUUUGGACGUGAUUUUGAGACUUGUAAGGCCACUGGGUUUCUAAAAGACCACACACACACACACACACCCACACACAUACCCACGCACCUAAACCUGUAUGCAAUACCUGCUCCUCUGACCAUCCCUGUUACCUUCAACUGAGUGAAGUCAAUACAAGAGUCUGCACUAU